rnacentral:rRNA from 1 species
AAUCAACGCUGGCGGCGUGCCUCAGACAUGCAAGUCGAACGAUUAAGACUUCCUUCGGGAAGUGCAUAAAGUGGCGCACGGGUGAGUAACACGUAAGUAAUCUACCCUCGAGUGGGGAAUAACAGUCGGAAACGACUGCUAAUACCGCAUAAUGCAGCGGCACCGCGAGGUGACAGUUGUUAAAGGAGCAAUCCGCUUGAGGAGGAGCUUGCGGCAGAUUAGCUAGUUGGUAAGGUAACGGCUUACCAAGGCUACGAUCUGUAUCCGGUCUAAGAGGACGGUCGGACACACUGACACUGAAUAACGGGUCAGACUCCUACGGGAGGCAGCAGUCGGGAAUUUUGGGCAAUGGGCGAAAGCCUGACCCAGCAACGCCGCGUGAAGGAUGAAGUAUUUCGGUAUGUAAACCUCGAAAGAAUAGGAAGAAUAAAUGACGGUACUAUUUAUAAGCUCCGGCUAACUACGUGCCAGCCGCCGCAGUAAAAC